rnacentral:tRNA from 1 species
UCAUCAGUAAAGCUCAGUUGGGAGAGUGGUACGUAUUGAUUUAUCUAUUAAAAGCGUACGGGUCGUGAGUUCGAGUCUCACACUGGUGAU